rnacentral:lncRNA from 1 species
UUUUGCAGGGUCAGAAGGGAGAGAGUUAUUGGGGGACCUUUUUGGCUCCCCUGAAAUCACAUUAAGUAUUCAGUGGCCACUUGCUUAAUCAACAGUAGGGAUGGCUGCAUGUGGAGACAGGCCUGUCAUUAUUCCUGGCUCUAUUAACAUGAACAGCUGAAAGAAUAUGACGCAAAAAUCCCCUUACAUAGAACCCCCCACUGAAAAAACAACCAACUUAACUAUGUGCUCAUAUUUAUUUAAAUCUCUGAACAGAGCUGUUCUCUGCUGAGUUAUAAUGAGGAGUGAGUUUUCCGAGGGUGUGAUUUAUGAGCCUCUCGCAGAUGGGUUUUAAAUGAGGGGACUGACAGUUCCACUCCAGCUAUGGUAGGGCUGGGGUCUUUCAGGCCCAGAGGAGCCGAAAUGAGCUGGUGGGAGGCAAGGGGGGUGGUGCGUG